CCUGUGAAAACGCCCUUCACUCCCUACUAGGGACAAGGAGCUGGUAUCAGGCACGAUUAUCUGCCCAAGACACCUAGCUAUGCCACACCCACAAGGGAAUUCAGCAGUGACUAACAUUGAGCAUUAGCGAAAGCUUGACUCAGUUAAAGUAAACAGAGCCGGCUAAUCUGGUGCCAGCCGCCGCGGUUACACCAAGUGGCUCAAAUUGACUUCAUUCGGCGUAAAGCGUGAUUAAAGUCUACAUCUACUAGAGUUAAACUAAAACUAAGCUGUGACACGCUUGUUCAUUAUGAAAUUCAUAGACGAAGGUUACUCUAACAAAAUCAACUUGAACUCACGACAGUCGGGAAACAAACUGGGAUUAGAUACCCCACUAUGCCCGAUCGUAAACUUUUAUUUACACCUCAAUCGCCAGGGAACUACGAGCCAAGCUUAAAACCCAAAGGACUUGACGGUACCCCAUAUCCCCCUAGAGGAGCCUGUUCUUUAAUCGAUAACCCACGUUUAACCUCACCCUUUCUAGUUACUCAGCCUGUAUACCUCCGUCGUCAGCUUACCACGUGAGCGAAAAUUAGUGAGCACAAUGCUAUUUCACCAAUACGUCAGGUCAAGGUGCAGCAAAUGAAAUGGGAAGAAAUGGGCUACACUCUCUACACAUAGAGGAAACGAAAAACUACAUAUGAAAUCUAGUUGGAAGGCGGAUUUAGCAGUAAAAAGGAAUCAACAUGUUCAUUUUAAUUCGGCACUGGGGUGUGUACACACCGCCCGUCACCCUCCUCAAAAAUACAGUAAUAGUAUUUAACUAAAUUAAGUUUAACAGAAGAGGCAAGUCGUAACAUGGUAAGUAUACCGGAAGGUGUGCUUGGAAA
rnacentral:ncRNA from 1 species